CAAUAGCGUAUAUUAAAGCUGUUGCGGUUAAAAAGCUCGUAGUUGGAUUUCUGUCAAGUACAACUGGUCCGCCCUCCGGGUGAGCACAUAGUUUGGUCUUGGCAUCUUGCUGGAAACUGUUGCUGCACUUGGCUGUGUGGCGCAGCGUCCAGCACUUUCACUUUGAGGAAAUUGGAGUGUUUCAAGCAGGCACAUGCCUUUGGACACAGUAGCAUGGAAUAAUUAGAUUGGGCUUUUGCUCCAAUUUGUCGGUUUCUGGAGCUGAGGUGAGAAUUAAUGGGGAUUGUUGGGGGCAUCCGAAUUUAGCCGUCAGAGGUGAAAUUCUUGGAUCUGCUAAAGACGGACAACUGCGAAAGCGUUUGCCCAGGAUGUUUNCAUUGA
rnacentral:rRNA from 1 species